ACUUUGGGAUCCAAACCCAGUCAGCUCAACAGGUCACUAAGAAGUGAGGGGGCAGAGUGUGUGUGUGUGUGUGUGUGUGUGUGUGUGCGUGCGUGCGUGCGUGCGUGCGUGCGUGCGUGCGUUUGUGAAUUAAUGUCUGUGUGUGUGUGUGUGUGUGUGUGUUUAUGGGCGUGGGUGUGUGUGUGUGUGCGUGUGUGUGUGUGUGUGUGUGUGUCUGUGUGUGUGUGUGUGUGUGUGUGUGCGUGUGUGUGUGUGUGUGUGUGGGGUGUGGCAGGAUUGUGAUCUGGUUACUUAUGAGGAUCUGAGGUGUGGCAGGAUUGUGAUCUGGUCUCAUGUGCACUGGUGUAUGUUUUGCCAUGUUGGAGCCAUACUACACGAUACUCGAUACUGUUUGCCCUCCUCCCCUCUGGGAGGCGCUAUGGAGCCAUACUACACGAUACGUGAUACUGUUUGCCCUCCUCCCCUCUGGGAGGCGCUAUGGAGCCAUACUACACGAUACUCCUCAUAUCAGUCUUUCAUUGUGGAGGCCCAGCAGACUCUCCAGUCAAUUAGUAACUUUACUGAAUAAGAACUGAACGUCAGAUUGAUAUACACAUCAGCCAGACAGAUAACUUUGUUUAUAUAGAGAGUCUUAUUCUCGUAAUCUCUAGUCAAUCAGUAACUUCACUGAGCAAGAAGAUGAUGCCACUCUGUCAUACAACAUCAUCCAAUCAAAUGGCUUCAUUUGUAAACAGCACCUGGCUGUAGUUUUUGUUUGUUUGUUUUGGCAUUUUGUCUAAGAGGUUAAUAUUUAAUCUAGCACUCAAUACCAAACCCCACAGUCUAGGGUCAGGUUCAGCCUUCAGCAGUGGAAUACCAGGCACUGCCCACACCAAACUCAGACCGCUAAACAGCCAACCACUAAUCCUGAACCACAGACAACUCUGGAUAGGUGUUCAAGUGUGUCGUGCUCUCCUGAACCACUGACAACUCUGGGUGCUGAGUCAUAAAAUGGAGUACAAGAAGAACUGUGACACACUCUCGGAGAAGAACUCAUUUGAUGCAGAGGGAAAUGCCACAAACAACCAGGAGCUGAAGGCUGGUCCAUACGAUGGCCUCCAGUACUGUAACAUCCUGAAAGCUGAAAAAGAAGAAAUACAAUAUGCUCUGGACAAACACAAUUCAGACUCAGGUGCCAACAAAUGCUGUGCUUGGAAAGUGACAGCGAUUGUCUUUAUAAUCCUGACUGUCCUGCUUCUGGUCAUCGCCAUCGUCAUAGGAGUGAUCUGGCUUCGAGAGUCUGACAUCUUGGCGGUAUCACAGAAAACAUCCAUGGAAAGAGCCAAACAAAGACAGGAAGAGGAGGAGCAGAAGAGAAUGGACAGAGAGAGAGAGAUCAGGGCAGAGGAGGAGAAGAAGAGAAUGGACAGAGAGAGAGAAGUCAGGGCAGAGGAGGAGAAGAAGAGAAUGGACAGAGAGAGAGAGGUCAGGGCAGAGGAGGAGAAGAAGAGAAUGGACUUGGAUAAGAAAAUCAGGCAGGAAGAAGAGGAGAAAAGACAGGCGAUGCUGGAGGAGGUGAAGGCCCAGUGUAGCGGUGGUCAGAUAGUUAGCAUUAGCUCCAUUAGCUUUGGGUUUAUUCUCUCAGUGUUGCUGGUUAACCACCUAAUGGAUUACUGACCGAUUUGGAUGUGCUGACAUGUUUGUCACUGUUUCUCACAGUAAAGCUCAUUUGUCAGUUAAAGGUGUUGUGGGAGACCCAGACUGCUAGUGUGUAAUUCAGUUAAAGGUGUUGUGGGAGACCCAGACUGCUAGUGUGUAAUUCAGUUAAAGGUGUUGUGGGAGACCCAGACUGCUAGUGUUCUGUUCUGUUGCGUGAUGUUUUCCCAUUGUGUGUUCUAUUUUACCUUUCAUGGCUAGCCGUUUGUUUUUUGAUUU
ensembl:lncRNA